rnacentral:rRNA from 1 species
GUCCCGACCAAAUCUCGUGCCAGCAGUCGCGGUAAGACGAGGGGGGCAAGCGUUAAUCUCAAUUAUUCGGUCUAAAGGGUCCGUAGACGGCAUUAUAAGUUCCUUGAAGAAGGUAAUACUGUAAAGCUAGAGUUAAAUAGGAGGAAUUAGUAUUUUUUAAGUAAGGAUUAAAUCUAAAUAUAAGGAAGACUACCAAAAGCGAAGGCAUUUUUCUAUAUUUAACUGACGUUGAGGGACGAAAGCUAGGGUCGCGAUCCGGAUUAGAUACCCGAGUAGUCCUAGCCCGUAACGAUGAAUGCUAAUUCUUUUUAAGAAUACAGUGAAGACGUUAAGCAUUCCACCUGGAGAGUACGUUCUCUAGAAUGAAAUCCAAGACAUUAGACGGUUGUAGACCCCAGCAGUUAAGC